rnacentral:rRNA from 1 species
UACAUGGGGUGCAAACGUUGCUCGGAAUUAUUGGGCGUAAAGCGCACGUAGGCGGUUUGUUAAGUCGGAUGUGAAAUCCCUCGGCUCAACUGAGGAAGUGCAUCCGAAACUGGCAGGCUUGAGUACUAAAGAGGGUCGCGGAAUUCCCGGUGUAGAGGUGAAAUUCGUAGAUAUCGGGAGGAACACCGGUGGCGAAGGCGGCGACCUGGGUAGAUACUGACGCUGAGGUGCGAAAGCGUGGGGGGCAAACAGG